rnacentral:rRNA from 1 species
GACGAACGCUGGCGGCGUGCCUAAUACAUGCAAGUAGAACGCUGAAGGAGGAGCUUGCUUCUCUGGAUGAGUUGCGAACGGGUGAGUAACGCGUAGGUAACCUGCCUGGUAGCGGGGGAUAACUAUUGGAAACGAUAGCUAAUACCGCAUAAGAGUAGAUGUUGCAUGACAUUUACUUAAAAGGUGCAAUUGCAUCACUACCAGAUGGACCUGCGUUGUAUUAGCUAGUUGGUGAGGUAACGGCUCACCAAGGCAACGAUACAUAGCCGACCUGAGAGGGUGAUCGGCCACACUGGGACUGAGACACGGCCCAGACUCCUACGGGAGGCAGCAGUAGGGAAUCUUCGGCAAUGGACGGAAGUCUGACCGAGCAACGCCGCGUGAGUGAAGAAGGUUUUCGGAUCGUAAAGCUCUGUUGUAAGAGAAGAACGAGUGUGAGAGUGGAAAGUUCGCACUGUGACGGUAUCUUACCAGAAAGGGACGGCUAACUACGUG